CCUACGGGAGGCUGCAGUGAGGAAUAUUGGUCAAUGGGCGCAAGUCUGAACCAGCCAUGUCGCGUGCAGGAUGACGGCUCUAUGGGUUGUAAACUUCUUUUAUAAAAGAAUAAAGUGAAAUACGUGUAUUUAUUUGUAUGUACUUUAUGAAUAAGGAUCGGCUAACUCCGUGCCAGCAGCCGCGGUAAUACGGAGGAUCCAAGCGUUAUCCGGAUUUAUUGGGUUUAACGGGUGCGUAGACGGGUUGUUAAGUUAGUGGUGAAAUUGUUCGGCUCAACCGGAAAACUGCAACUAAUACUGGCAGCCUAGAGAAUAGUUGCGGUAGGCGGAAUGUGUGGUGUAGCGGUGAAAUGCUUAGAUAUCACACAGAACACCGAUUGCGAAGGCAGCUUACUAAUCUGCAACUGACAUUGAUGCUCGAAAGUGUGGGUAGCAAACAGGAUUAGAUACCCGAGUAGUC
rnacentral:rRNA from 1 species